CUGGGGUUGUGGCUCAGUGGUAGAGCGCUUGCCUAGCACUUGCAAGACCCUGGGUUUGAUCCUCAGACCACAUA
rnacentral:tRNA from 1 species